AGUGAACGCUGGCGGUAGGCCUAACACAUGCAAGUCGAACGGCAGCACAGUAAGAGCUUGCUCUUACGGGUGGCGAGUGGCGGACGGGUGAGGAAUACAUCGGAAUCUACUUUUUCGUGGGGGAUAACGUAGGGAAACUUACGCUAAUACCGCAUACGACCUACGGGUGAAAGCAGGGGAUCUUCGGACCUUGCGCGAUUGAAUGAGCCGAUGUCGGAUUAGCUAGUUGGCGGGGUAAAGGCCCACCAAGGCGACGAUCCGUAGCUGGUCUGAGAGGAUGAUCAGCCACACUGGAACUGAGACACGGUCCAGACUCCUACGGGAGGCAGCAGUGGGGAAUAUUGGACAAUGGGCGCAAGUCUGAUCCAGCCAUACCGCGUGGGUGAAGAAGGCCUUCGGGUUGUAAAGCCCUUUUGUUGGGAAAGAAAAGUAGCAGGUUAAUACCCCGCUGUUCUGACGGUACCCAAAGAAUAAGCACCGGCUAACUUCGUGC
rnacentral:rRNA from 1 species